AGGUCCACGGGGCCUCUAACCCCAUAGGUAAUUGAGUCCAAAGGGUUUUUGAACUGAUAACUGUCAAUGGAAAGCCUCUUGGAAUAACUUCCCUGCAGCUGCCCUUUUAAUUAGAAAAUCUGUCUAAGGAAGAUUUUCUCAAACUCUCAGCAAGUUCAGCAACUCAUUCUCAACUAUCCAAACUCAUGGAAUCCAACCACCCCAAGGGCUCCCUGGGGGAAAUAUUGACAUAC
rnacentral:lncRNA from 1 species